AGUCGAGGGGUAGUUAUCUUCGGAUAAUGAGACCGGCGCACGGGUGCGUAACGCGUAUGCAAUCUACCUUUCACAGAGGGAUAGCCCAGAGAAAUUUGGAUUAAUACCUCAUAGUAUAGUAGUCUCGCAUGAGACCACUAUUAAAGAUUUAUCGGUGAAAGAUGAGCAUGCGUCCCAUUAGUUAGUUGGUAAGGUAACGGCUUACCAAGACUACGAUGGGUAGGGGUCCUGAGAGGGAGAUCCCCCACACUGGUACUGAGACACGGACCAGACUCCUACGGGAGGCAGCAGUGAGGAAUAUUGGACAAUGGGCGCAAGCCUGAUCCAGCCAUGCCGCGUGCAGGAUGACGGUCCUAUGGAUUGUAAACUGCUUUUAUACAGGAAGAAACACUGGUUCGUGAACCAGCUUGACGGUACUGUAAGAAUAAGGAUCGGCUAACUCCGUGCCAGCAGCCGCGGUAAUACGGAGGAUCCAAGCGUUAUCCGGAAUCAUUGGGUUUAAAGGGUCCGUAGGCGGUCAGAUAAGUCAGUGGUGAAAGCCCAUCGCUCAACGGUGGAACGGCCAUUGAUACUGUCUGACUUGAAUUAUUAGGAAGUAACUAGAAUAUGUAGUGUAGCGGUGAAAUGCUUAGAGAUUACAUGGAAUACCAAUUGCGAAGGCAGGUUACUACUAAUAUAUUGACGCUAAUGGACGAAAGCGUGGGUAGCGAACAGGAUUAGAUACCCUGGUAGUCCACGCCGUAAACGAUGGAUACUAGCUGUUGGGAGCAAUCUCAGUGGCUAAGCGAAAGUGAUAAGUAUCCCACCUGGGGAGUACGAACGCAAGUUUGAAACUCAAAGGAAUUGACGGGGGCCCGCACAAGCGGUGGAGCAUGUGGUUUAAUUCGAUGAUACGCGAGGAACCUUACCAAGGCUUAAAUGUAGAUUGACCGGUUUGGAAACAGACUUUUCGCAAGACAAUUUACAAGGUGCUGCAUGGUUGUCGUCAGCUCGUGCCGUGAGGUGUCAGGUUAAGUCCUAUAACGAGCGCAACCCCUGUUGUUAGUUGCCAGCGAGUCAUGUCGGGGACUCUAACAAGACUGCCCGUGUAACUGUGAGGAAAGGUGGGGGAUGACGUC
rnacentral:rRNA from 1 species